AUGCCGGAUGCUCCAGUUGAUCGCAUGGUCUUCUGGGAAAGCUUUCGCGGUAUGGGAUGGGGUCGCGUCCUAUCAGCUUGACGGCGGGGUAACGGCCCACCGUGGCUUCGACGGGUAGCCGGCCUGAGAGGGCGACCGGCCACAUUGGGACUGAGAUACGGCCCAGACUCCUACGGGAGGCAGCAGUGGGGAAUAUUGCACAAUGGGCGCAAGCCUGAUGCAGCGACGCCGCGUGAGGGAUGGAGGCCUUCGGGUUGUAAACCUCUUUUAUCGGGGAGCAAGCGAGAGUGAGUUUACCCGUUGAAUAAGCACCGGCUAACUACGUGCCAGCAGCCGCGGUAAUACGUAGGGUGCAAGCGUUAUCCGGAAUUAUUGGGCGUAAAGGGCUCGUAGGCGGUUCGUCGCGUCCGGUGUGAAAGUCCAUCGCUUAACGGUGGAUCCGCGCCGGGUACGGGCGGGCUUGAGUGCGGUAGGGGAGACUGGAAUUCCCGGUGUAACGGUGGAAUGUGUAGAUAUCGGAA
rnacentral:rRNA from 1 species